rnacentral:rRNA from 1 species
GACGAACGCUGGCGGCGUGCCUAAUACAUGCAAGUCGAACGCAGUGGGGACGGGUGAGUAACACGUGGGUAACCUCCCAUCAGAGGGGAUAACACUGGGAAACAGGUCCUAUACCGUUACUGCUGGAUGGACCCGCGGUGCAUUAGCUAGUUGGGGCGGUAACGGCUCACCAAGGCCACGAUGCAUAGCCGACCUGAGAGGGUGAUCGGCCACACUGUCACUGAGACACGGCCCAGCCUCCUACGGGAGGCAGCAGUAGGGAAUCUUCGGCAAUGGACGAAAGUCUGACCGAGCAACGCCGCGUGGGGGAAGAAGGUUUUCGGAUCGUAAAGCUCUGUUGUUAGAGAAGCGGUAUCUAACCAGAAAGCCACGGCUAACUACGUGCCAGCAGCCGCGGUAAUAC